AAAGGAACGCUAAUACCGCANACGUCCUACGGGAGAAAGCAGGGGACCGUUCGGGCCUUGCGCUAUCAGAUGAGCCUAGGUCGGAUUAGCUAGUUGGUGAGGUAAUGGCUCACCAAGGCGACGAUCCGUAACUGGUCUGAGAGGAUGAUCAGUCACACUGGAACUGAGACACGGUCCAGACUCCUACGGGAGGCAGCAGGA
rnacentral:rRNA from 1 species